AUACGGAGGAUCCGAGCGUUAUCCGGAUUUAUUGGGUUUAAAGGGUGCGCAGGCGGCCAUUUAAGUCAGCGGUUAAAUCGUGGGGCUCAACCCCAUUCUGCCGUUGAUACUGGGUGGCUUGAUUGCGGUCGAGGUUGGCGGAAUUCGUUGUGUAGCGGUGAAAUGCAUAGAUAUGACGAAGAACACCGAUUGCGUAGGCAGCUGACCAGACCGCAAAUGACGCUCAUGCACGAAAGUGCGGGGAUCGAACAGGGUUAGAUACCCUGGUAGUCCGCACAGUAAACGAUGAAUACUUGUUUUCGGCGAUAUAAUGUCGGAGGCAAAGCGAAAGCGAUAAGUAUUCCACCUGGGGAGUACGCCGGCAACGGUGAAACUCAAAGGAAUUGACGGGG
rnacentral:rRNA from 1 species